GCACUUACAUUAGUUAAUGAAGGUGCUAAUGUUGAUAAAUUAGUUGCUUCACUUCUUAUCUAUCAAAUCCACCAACUCAUGAUCACUAGCUCAUUCAUGACAAGAUAUACUAGUACUGUAUGAAAGGCUGUAUUCAGAGUGCAGUUGGAGAAGAGAAUGCCAACAAAGUGGUGAAAGGUUGCCAAGUGCACUCUGUAAGAAGAGUCAGCGAAAGAGUUAACAAGUCACAAUCAAAGGCACAUAAUGCUUUCACUAUCAUGCAUCGCUUACGCCAUUCCCAACCUUGACUCAAAACCACAUGUAGAGGCUUUAUUCAAAGUUUUAUGUGGUGGCGAACCACUCUCAUCAGCCGUACAAAUCUUGGACGAGUCAGCACUGUUGAAAGACUACAGCUUGGAACAUAAGCCAAGCGAUUGGAGGGCAAGCAAAAACUGGUGCAACUGGUGGAUGAGACCAAACCACUUGAGAAUGCUCUCUCCAUGUUACUGCCUGAUGGAUCCUGACACUUUCAGGGAGUUACCUAGCUCAAUAAACGCGGUAGAAUCACACAAUCGAUUUGGCAAACCUACUCACCCACUUCCUUUAAAAGGAGCUAUGAUGGCCACGUAUAUAGGGAGGAUAUGGCAAAAGGCAUAGAGAUUAUGGCAAAGAGAAAAGGUCUCUCUACAUCAUUUGACAGCCCUUCAGAAAGUGCACGUUCCAAGAGGAAAGACCAGCAAAACCGAGCUCGUCGAAAGAGACUGCACACAGAUAAUGACCCAGAAGGUCCUCCCGACAGAAAAUGUGCAUUCAAUUCAGGUGAUCAUACACCAACAGGUCACAAGAAAACAAGACACAGUUUUAAGUUAGCAGACAGCAGCAACAAGAGAA